GGAUCCAUGGCGCAAUGGUAGCGCGUGUCUAACUCCAGAUCAAAAGGUUGCGUGUUAAAUUCACGUAGGGUUCA
rnacentral:tRNA from 1 species